GAGCAACAGGAGCCCUUGCAUUGUAAUCCAACGGUGCACAAUUUAAUGAUGACGUGGAUAGCCCCACAUGUGCUAUUUUGAACCGGGUUUGUUAUAAGGAAAUUUCUCACGCAAGUGCAUAAUAGCAUGCAAGUCACAAACAGAAGAUCAAAGGAUUAAUUAUUUUUCCUAUUUUUUUACACCGUGAAUUUCUGUUUCAUUUGAAAAUUUUAUUUUAGAGCACAAUAUUGACUAAAAUUGAUAUUCCGAAGUUUAUUGGCAAAAUCAGUUUUGCUAUUUGGCAAAUUCAGACGAAGACUGUUCUUACUCAGUUAUGUGUACGGAAGGCGUUGCAACCGCGACCUGCUGAUAUGACUGGUGAUAAAUGAGAAGAUCUUGAUGAAAAAGUUCUGAUACCAAUUGUUAGGUAGUUGGGAAAAAAUGAGACACAAAGUUUAACGUGAAAAAAACUCUCCCAAUGUGGAGGAGAAAAAAACCACUGGAAAACAGAUCUAUUAUGUGGUGUAUUGUACAGGGUACAAGGGGCCUAUUUAUAUAGACAAAGGAGAUAAAGAUAGAGUCACAUAAUAUUAUUCAACAAUAAAUAGCCUGUUGUAGCUUUUCAGAGGCCAUGCUGCUAUGAUAUUGCCAAUUGUCUCGCGAUUGCAGCUAAGGACGCUUUAACCCUACUGAACACCAAUAUAUUUUGUUUAGCCACGAUUUUUCAGUACCGCUAACCCUGAUGGAGGAUUCUUUUCCCCUUGAACAACUUAGUACAACUACGUGUUAUUUCAUUAAGAAUGAAAAGGCGAUCGUACAAAAUGUCAAAAU
rnacentral:lncRNA from 7 species